AUCAAAUUAAAAGGGAAAUUGAAGGCUAGUUGAAUGCAUGAACUAAGAAUGGUGAUCACCUAAGUAUUUCCUACAUCAAGCACGAAGAAGGAAGAAGGCGCAAGUCACUCGAAGGCACAAGCAUCUCAAGAUCGCGGUAAAUCCCUUGCUUGAUUGCGGUGCACCCGGGCUGAACAC